rnacentral:misc_RNA from 1 species
AUAUAUGAAACAAGAGUGAUAAACCUCAGUCGUAAAAGUACAAGGUAGACGGAAAGUAUAUAAAAUAAAAAUACGUAGAUUGGAUAUUUCCGGAGUGAAAGACUCAAAAUCUGUAUACGAAAAUUUCAAAGAAAACUCAAAAUCACUAAACAAAACAAUACAACGUGUGCAUAAGAAUCAAAACAGGCUCGCGAAAAGAAAAAAAUAAUAGACUGUGCUCAAAAAUCGUUUAUAAUUCCCGAGUGAUAUUCGAACGAAGAGAAAGAGAGAGUCGAAAAAAAGGGAAAAACAUAGGGGAAAUGCACUGUCGAAAACCUUUGUAGUCUUCGGCCAUACAAAAUCGCAGCUGGGAUGGUUUUCGAGAUCGUUUCUCUAGAGCACAAUCAACACAUUAUAUGUACAUGCAUAGUAAAGAAUAACCAAAAGUGGUAAACUGCGUGGAUCGUUAUUACGCAAAUUGCGAGAGUCGAAGCGAGGGCAAAGGGAAUUGAAGAUUUUCGUUGAUCAUAAGAGAGUCGAAGCGAGGGAAGAAGAGAGAGGAGGAGAGUUUUGACAAGAGCAAAAGCCAUAUAUAAACGAAUAAACGGACACAUGUGUACAACAAGUUGGCUUUGGCUGAUGCUCACACGAGGAUGAUCGAGAUUCGUUUCAAUUGAAGCUCGAGUCUGGGAGCGUGUUUUCAUUGGCCAGCCUCUUAAUCCCACUGACUUCUGAGAAGACAAAGAGCGGGCUUUUCGGGUCACAUCUUGUCAGAGGGCUACAGGAGUCAUUCGCAGCACAGAGAACGAAAAAGGGGGAGAGAGAAAAACGAGAGAUCAUCCGACGAUCGGGGCUCCGUCCUGCUUAGCUCCGACGAUUCAUUCGUUCCCCGAGUUUCGAGGAGCCUCGUUCGAGGGAAGCUUCCCCAAAAGUCGCGUAUUCAACGUUGAGUCCUCUUCGAAGACACUGUUCUCCCUUGAACCGCGAAUGGCACAAUUUUAUUGGCUGCUCCUCUUCGAGAGAACCAAUUGAAUUUAAGCGGCUCUUUUUUUUUAAGAUCGGUGAUUUUGGAGUGAAAGUUGGUGAUUCGUUCUGGUGCUGCUGUCUCGCGGAGGAAGCUCCUCUGAACGGAUCGGAGAAAGUUACGUUGAGAAACGGUAUAUACGGCAAACAACCCGAUUAACGGUCGAGUGCGAUAAUGGAGCGAAGAAUCUUGAAAAUGUGGUGACUCCGUUGAAGGCCUCGUGUGCCGUACUUCGAUACAAGACACUAGAAAGUGUGUGAGUCUUUAGAGAUUUUGUCGCUUAGGACAGAAUCAAUCCAGCAACAAAUAAACAAAAAAAAAAAACAAAAAAAAAACAAUCCAAAGACCUGCCAAAAGAAGCGGAAGGAAAGAAGAGAAAAUUGUUGCAAAAAACGUGCCGGAGCACCACACGUCUUUCCAGAAUCCUAGAUUUCAACGAUUGAUAAAAUUUGAAAAGUUUUUGUUCAAGCCAAAAU